rnacentral:tRNA from 1 species
GCUCUUAUGGUGUAAUGGUUAGCACUCUGGACUUUGAAUCCAGCGAUCCGGGUUCAAAUCCCGGUAGGAGUU